rnacentral:rRNA from 1 species
UACGUAGGGCGCAAGCGUUUGUCCGGAAUUAUUGGGCGUAAAGAGCUCGUAGGCGGUUUGUCGCGUCUGCUGUGAAAACCUAAGGCUCAACCUUGGGCUUGCAGUGGGUACGGGCAGACUAGAGUGCGGUAGGGGGUGACUGGAAUUCCUGGUGUAGCGGUGGAAUGCGCAGAUAUCAGGAGGAACACCGGUGGCGAAGGCGGGUCUCUGGGCCGUAACUGACGCUGAGGAGCGAAAGCGUGGGGAGCGAACAGG